rnacentral:rRNA from 1 species
UACAGAGGUGGCAAGCGUUGUUCGGAAUUACUGGGCGUAAAGGGCGUGUAGGCGGCCUUCUAAGUCAGACGUGAAAUCCCCCGGCUUAACCUGGGAACUGCGUCUGAUACUGGGAGGCUAGAGUAUGGGAGAGGGAUGUGGAAUUCCAGGUGUAGCGGUGAAAUGCGUAGAUAUCUGGAGGAACACCGGUGGCGAAGGCGGCAUCCUGGACCAUAACUGACGCUGAUCCGCGAAAGCUAGGGGAGCAAACGGG